rnacentral:rRNA from 1 species
GGGUUGUGAGGUUAAGCGACUAAGCGUACACGGUGGAUGCCCUGGCAGUCAGAGGCGAUGAAGGGCGUGCUAAUCUGCGAUAAGCGCCGGUAAGGUGAUAUGAACCGUUAUAACCGGCGAUACCCGAAUGGGGAAACCCAGUGUGAUUCGUCACACUAUCAUUAACUGAAUCCAUAGGUUAAUGAGGCGAACCGGGGGAACUGAAACAUCUAAGUACCCCGAGGAAAAGAAAUCAACCGAGAUUCCCCCAGUAGCGGCGAGCGAACGGGGAGGAGCCCAGAGCCUGAAUCAGCAUGUGUGUUAGUGGAAGCGUCUGGAAAGGCGCGCGAUACAGGGUGACAGCCCCGUACACAAAAGCGCAUAUGCUGUGAGCUCGAUGAGUAGGGCGGGACACGUGGUAUCCUGUCUGAAUAUGGGGGGACCAUCCUCCAAGGCUAAAUACUCCUGACUGACCGAUAGUGAACCAGUACCGUGAGGGAAAGGCGAAAAGAACCCCGGCGAGGGGAGUGAAAAAGAACCUGAAACCGUGUACGUACAAGCAGUGGGAGCCCCACCACUAAGCCAGUGGUGAACUCCACAUACGCAUCCUUUGCUGAGGAUACGGUUAACGGAGCGAAAGCGACGUUCAACCUCAAAAGAAGCAGAGGGGGCUUAGUGGUGGGGUGACUGCGUACCUUUUGUAUAAUGGGUCAGCGACUUAUAUUCUGUAGCAAGGUUAACCGAAUAGGGGAGCCGGAGGGAAACCGAGUCUUAAU